rnacentral:misc_RNA from 1 species
GAUGAAGAACGUAGCGAAAUGCGAUACGUAAUGUGAAUUGCAGAAUUCAGUGGAUCAUCGAGUCUUUGAACGCACAUUGCGCCCCCUGGUAUUCCGGGGGGCAUGCCUGUCCGAGCGUCAUUGCUGCCCUCAAGCACGGCUUGUGUGUUGGGCCUCCGUCCUCCUCCCGGGGGACGGGCCCGAAAGGCAGCGGCGGCACCGCGUCCGGUCCUCGAGCGUAUGGGGCUUCGUCACCCGCUCUUGUAGGCCCGGCCGGCGCUUGCCGACACAUCAAUCUUUUUUCCAGGUUGACCUCGGAUCAGGUAGGGAUACCCGCUGAACUUAAGCAUAUCAAUAAGCGGAGGA